GACGAGCGCUGGCGGCGUGCUUAACACGUGCGAGUCGAGCGGGGAGGCCGAGCUUGCUAGGUGGAUGAGUGGCGAACGGGGGAGUAAUACGUGAGUAACCUACCUUGAACUCUGGGAUAAGCCUGGGAAACUGGGGCUAAUACCGGAUACGACCAAUCUCCGCAUGGGGUGUUGGUGGAAAGCGUUAUGUAGUGGUUAUAGAUGGGCUCACGGCCUAUCAGCUUGUUGGUGAGGUAACGGCUCACCAAGGCGACGACGGGUAGCCGGCCUGAGAGGGUGACCGGCCACACUGGGACUGAGACACGGCCCAGACUCCUACGGGAGGCAGCAGUGGGGAAUAUUGCACAAUGGGCGCAAGCCUGAUGCAGCGACGCCGCGUGAGGGAUGACGGCCUUCGGGUUGUAAACCUCUGUUAGCAGGGAAGAAGAGAGAUUGACGGUACCUGCAGAGAAAGCGCCGGCUAACUACGUGCCAGCAGCCGCGGUAAUACGUAGGGCGCUAGCGUUGUCCGGAAUUAUUGGGGCGUAAAGAGCUUGUAAGCGGUUUGUCGCGUCUGCUGUGAAAGGCCGGAGCUUAACUCCGUGUAUUGCAGGGGGCACGGGCAGACUAGAGUGCUUUAGGGGAGACGGGAAUUCCUGGUGUAGCGGUGGAAUGCGCAGAUAUCAGGAGGAACACCGAUGGCGAAGGCAGGUCUCUGGGCUGUAACUGACGCUGAGAAGCGAAAGCAUGGGGAGCGAACAGGAUUAGAUACCCUGGUAGUCCAUGCCGUAAACGUUGGGCACUAGGUGUGGGGAACAUUCCACGUUUUCCGCGCCGUAGCUAACGCAUUAAGUGCCCCGCCUGGGGAGUACGGCCGCAAGGCUAAAACUCAAAGAAAUUGACGGGGGCCCGCACAAGCGGCGGAGCAUGCGGAUUAAUUCGAUGCAACGCGAAGAACCUUACCAAGGCUUGACAUAUACUGGAUCGCAUCAGAGAUGGUGUUUCCCUUCGGGGCUGGUAUACAGGUGGUGCAUGGUUGUCGUCAGCUCGUGUCGUGAGAUGUUGGGUUAAGUCCCGCAACGAGCGCAACCCUCGUUCUAUGUUGCCAGCACGUUAUGGUGGGGACUCAUAGGAGACUGCCGGGGUCAACUCGGAGGAAGGUGGGGAUGACGUCAAAUCAUCAUGCCCCUUAUGUCUUGGGCUUCACGCAUGCUACAAUGGCCGGUACAGAGGGUUGCGAUACUGUGAGGUGGAGCUAAUCCCUAAAAGCCGGUCUCAGUUCGGAUUGGGGUCUGCAACUCGACCCCAUGAAGUCGGAGUCGCUAGUAAUCGCAGAUCAGCAACGCUGCGGUGAAUACGUUCCCGGGCCU
rnacentral:rRNA from 1 species